rnacentral:rRNA from 1 species
UUAGGUGCCUAUAUCGGCGGUGUCCACCUCUUCCCAUUCCGAACAGAGAAGUUAAGCCCGCCAGAGCCGAUGGUACUGCAGUAAAAUGUGGGAGAGUAGGUCGGUGCCAAAU